rnacentral:lncRNA from 1 species
GCCGCGGCUCCCCGUGCCCGCACCGCCCGCCACUGCCUCCGCACGCCGCGGCACUGCCCGCCGCCCCUCGGCCCUUCUCCCGCCCCAGGGCCCGCCGCUCUCUCCCGGUCCCUGCACCGCACGCAUCCCGCACGGCCGUUACCUGCCGCCCACAGACACUGCUGCCGCCCACCCAUCGCUGCCAUGUUGACAGGAGACCGGGCACGGCCGGAAGGGGAAACGGCACGGCGCCGCGCCGACCUUCCCUCACUGCGCAUGGGCGAGGGGGCGGGCGGUGCGGCGCAGUUUCUGCUAUUGGCGUAACGGCGGUCCGUGGUGGCCUCUGUCUGUGUCUUUCAGGGCCCUGGAGAGCAGCUCUUGGGAGGUGGAAGAAGAAGAAGAGGAGGGAAUCCUGACGUCCUAGCAUGAUGUCUGGGUGGAGCUUGGUGUGCGUCCGCUGCCUUGUCGCAGAUGGAAAGCUUCUGCCUGUUUGCGAGGAUGUUCACUGCCUAGCUGGGCAGGACUCAGCAGAACCUUCUGAAAAACUUGGCACUGUGAUGUCCCAGCAGAUCGUUGUGCUCUGAUUGACUAAAAACAUUGUUCCCAUUCCUUGAAACAUGAAUUUCAACGUAUCUGUACCAUCCAGAGGUCUUUGAUGGAUAGAAUCCCAUACUCAACCACUUACUGUUAAAUCAGCAACCCUCCAUCACGUUUACGAAAAACACAGGCUUGCACUAAUAUCAAUUUUAUUGUUCUCCUCUUUUCCCAUCCUCUGCUGGCUUGCUUUCAGCGCAGAUUUGCAGAUCCUGGAAGGGCAAGUAAUCCAGCUAAGAAACCUUGGG